rnacentral:rRNA from 1 species
GACGAACGCUGGCGGCGUGCCUAAUACAUGCAAGUCGAACGCUGUAGGAGGAGCUUGCUUCUCUGGAUGAGUUGCGAACGGGUGAGUAACGCGUAGGUAACCUGCCUGGUAGCGGGGGAUAACUAUUGGAAACGAUAGCUAAUACCGCAUAAUAGUAGAUGUUUCAUGACAUUUGCUUAAAAGGUGCAAUUGCAUCACUACCAGAUGGACCUGCGUUGUAUUAGCUAGUUGGUGGGGUAACGGCUCACCAAGGCGACGAUACAUAGCCGACCUGAGAGGGUGAUCGGCCACACUGGGACUGAGACACGGCCCAGACUCCUACGGGAGGCAGCAGUAGGGAAUCUUCGGCAAUGGACGGAAGUCUGACCGAGCAACGCCGCGUGAGUGAAGAAGGGUUUCGGAUCGUAAAGCUCUGUUGUAAGAGAAGAACGAGUGUGAGAGUGGAAAGUUCACACUGUGACGGUAUCUUACCAGAAAGGGACGGCUAACUACGUG